rnacentral:rRNA from 1 species
UGGCCUUGACAUCCAGAGAACUUUCCAGAGAUGAAUUGGUGCCUUCGCGAACUCUGAGAC